UACGUAGGGGGCAAGCGUUGUCCAGAUUUAUUGGGCGUAAAGAGCGUGUAGGCGGUUUGGUAGGUCCGUUGUGAAAACUCGAGGCUCAACCUCGAGACGCCGGCGGAAACCAUCAGGCUAGAGUCCGGAAGAGGAGAGUGGAAUUCCUGGUGUAGCGGUGAAAUGCGCAGAUAUCAGGAAGAACACCCGUGGCUAAGGCGGCUCUCUAGUACGGUACUGACGCUGAGACGCGAAAGCGUGGGGAGCGAACAGG
rnacentral:rRNA from 1 species